rnacentral:rRNA from 1 species
UACGUAGGGGGCAAGCGUUGUCCGGAAUCAUUGGGCGUAAAGAGCGCGUAGGCGGUCCGGUAAGUCCGCUCUGAAAGUCCGGGGCUCAACCCCGGGAGGCGGGCGGAUACUGUCGGGCUAGAGUCCGGAAGAGGCGAGUGGAAUUCCUGGUGUAGCGGUGAAAUGCGCAGAUAUCAGGAGGAACACCAAUGGCGAAGGCAGCUCGCUGGGACGGUACUGACACUGAGACGCGAAAGCGUGGGGAGCAAACAGG